GUCCUGGCCGUAAACGCUGUCAGCUAGGUGUUGCAUGUCCUUGAGGACCUGCAGUAUCGGAGCGAAGGUAUUAAGCUGACCGCCUGGGAAGUACGGUCGCAAGACUGAAACUUUAAGGAAUUGGCGGGGGAGCACCACAAGGGGUGCGGCGUGCGGUUUAAUUUAACUCAACGCAGAGCAUCUCACUAGAGGCGACGGCAGGAUGAAGAUCAGUCUGAAGGGCUUAUCUGACGAGCCGAGAGGUAGUGCAUGGCCGCCGU
rnacentral:rRNA from 1 species